GCCAGCAGCCGCGGGAACACCGGCGGCCCGAGUGGUGAUCGUGAUUAUUGGGUCUAAAGGGUCCGUAGCCGGUUUGGUCAGUCCUCCGGGAAAUCUGAUAGCUCAACUAUUAGGCUUUCGGGGGAUACUGCCAGACUUGGAACCGGGAGAGGUAAGAGGUACUACAGGGGUAGGAGUGAAAUCUUGUAAUCCCUGUGGGACCACCUGUGGCGAAGGCGUCUUACCAGAACGGGUUCGACGGUGAGGGACGAAAGCUGGGGGCACGAACCGGAUUAGAUACCCGGGUAGUCCCAGCCGUAAACGAUGCUCGCUAGGUGUCAGGCAUGGCGCGACCGUGUCUGGUGCCGCAGGGAAGCCGUGAAGCGAGCCACCUGGGAAGUACGGCCGCAAGGCUGAAACUUAAAGGAAUUGGCGGGGGAGCACAACAACGGGUGGAAGCCUGCGGUUUAAUUGGACUCAACGCCGGACAACUCACCGGGGGCGACAGCAAUAUGUAGGCCAAGCUGAAGACUUUGCCUGAAUCGCUGAGAGGUGGUGCAUGG
rnacentral:rRNA from 1 species